rnacentral:lncRNA from 1 species
GAGUCCGGUCUGUUCCGGAGACUCUGAGCGCGGCCGCGGAGCUGCAGUGGCGGGGAGUGGGGUGCGGAUCUUGUGUUUGCGCACGCAGUCGCCGGCCACCUCAGGCCGGAGCUAGAGAUACGGCUCGGGAUAGGAGGGCCCGGCGGCUCUGAGGCAGGUUCGCCUCGAGCCGCACGGCCCGGAGCAGCGGCUCCGCGGUGGUCCCCGGGGCUUGAGAGGGGUGCGGGCCUGGGAGCCCCUGAGGGCCUGAUUUACGGAACUCCCCCUCCUUCCUCCUUUCUGCCGUUCCCUGCUCUGUGGCGGAUGCGCAGGGAUCAGUAGGGACGGCAGCAGUAGGGCCACUCGGGCCUGCCCCGCUUCCCGCAUUGCCCGGUUUGGCGCGCCGCCUCCGGGCCUUGGCAAAGCCCCAGCGCCCGAUUGUCACUGACCAGUGCUUGGAAGUCCUUUACCGACUGCCCGUCAGCGUCCCGCGGAGAGGAUUUUGCGUCUCCAAAGACGCCCCUCUUCCGAAAACAGGCUCCUCUGUGUUCUCAGUCGGGUAUAUUUUUCUGUCUCCAAACUAGAUUGGCAGCCGUUUUUUGAGAGCAGGGUCUUGCUCUGUUGCCCAGACUGGAGUGCAGUGGCGCCAUCUCAGCUGACUGCAGAUUCAACCUUCUGAGCUCACGAAAUCCUCCCAUCUCAACCUCCUGAGUAGCUGGGACCACAGGUGUGUGCCUGGCUAAUUUAAAACAAUUUUUUGUAGAGAUGGGGUUUUGCCAUGUUGCCCAGGCUAGUCUUGAACCCCUGAGCUCAAGGAAUCUGCCCACCUCGGCCUCCCAAAGUGCUGGGAUUACAGGUGUGAGCCACUGCGCCUGGCCGAUUAUGGGUAUUUAUUAAUCUGUUGUCAUAUAUGCUGCAGAUAGUUUCUCAUUAUUGUGUAUCUGGUAUGAUGUCUUUUGCUAUGCAGGGAUUUUCCAUUUUUAUAUUGUCAAAUUUCUUUUAUACCUUCUGGGUUUUUCCAUCAUGCUUAGAAAAACCUUCCCCAUCUCAAGAUUGUAAAUGUUUUUUAAUUCUUUCUGCUAGUAUUUAAAAAUAUUAUAACUUUUUAAUAUGGUGUGGGAGAGACUUGACAAUUUUUUUUUAAAUUAGAUAGUUGAUUAUUUCACCAUCAUCCUUACUCUACUGAUUUAAAUUACCUGUACCACAUACUGAAUUCCCAUAUGUAUAUGGCUUAUUUAUAAGCUCACUCUUUUUUUUUUUUUUUUUUUCUGGAGACAGGGUCUUGCCCUGUGGCCCAGGCUGGAGUGCAGUGGCAUGAUCUCGGCUCACUGCAACUUCCACUUCCUGAGCUCAAGCAGUUCUCCCACCUCCGCCUCCCAAGUAGCUGGGACUAUAGGUGGGACUAUAGCCACCACGCCUGGCUAAUUUUUGUAUUAUAAGAUGACACUUAUGUUUAAAUGAUUUUAAAAAGUAAUUAGUCUUGAAACAGUUCUACAUGUUUUUAAUUAUUUUAUAGAAUGUUUUCAUAUUGAGAGGGCAAUUGACCCUUCAUUACACUUCUUUUAACCACAUAUUUUGGCAAUUUCUGCAUAUUUAUUUGCUCAGAUAAACUUUAUAAUCAUUUACUAAGUUCUAAAACAGAAUCCAUGGAAAUUUUUACUAGAAUUAUAUAAAGUGUUUAGAAAUGUUUGGGAGAAAUGAGAUAUUUACAAUGCUGAGUAUUCCCUUACAGAAACAUGUAUGGGGCAGUUUGGUAUACUACAUAUAUUUUUUUCCAACAGUACUUUCAUCCAAUUUAGUUGACUUUUCAAGUAUCUUGGUAAAAGUCAAUGCAAUGGUCGCCAAACUUCUUUUAUUUAUUUAUUUAUUUAUUUAUUUAUUUAUUUAUUUAUUUAUUGAGACAGGAUUUCACUCUGUUUCCCAAACUGGAGUGCAGUGGCGCGAUCUUGGCUCUCUGCAGCCUUGACCUCCUGGGUUCUAGCGAUUCUCAUGCCUCAGCCUCCUGAGUAGCUGGGACUACAGGCGUGUACCACCACACCUGACUAAUUUUUGUACUUCCAGUAGAGAUGGGGCUUCACCAUGUUGGCCAGGCUGGUCUUGAGCUCCUAGCUUCAAGUGAUCUGCCUGCCUUGGUCUCCCCAAAGUGCUGGGAUUACAGACGUGAGCCAGUGCGCCCAGCCUCCAAACUUUUAUCAGAAAAAAAUUUUGUCUUCUCUUUCUGUAUACAUAUAAACAUUUUUUUUUUUAAAUGAGGCAAGGUCUCACCAUGUUGCCUAGGCUAGUCUUGAACUUUUGAGCUCAAGUGAUCCUCCAGCCUUGGCCUACCAAAAUGUUGGGAUUACAGGCAUGAGGCACCACACCCAGCCCAUAUAAACAUAUUUUUAAGCAAAGUGACUACACGUGGAAAUCCUAGUGUUUUCUGCAUACAUUCCAUUGGAUUGUUUUACACACACUGUGUAUGACUCAUGUCAGAGACCACAGAGGUGGGGCCUGUCUAUGGCAGUCCUCUGAGAUUGGCUUGGCAUGCGUGGGUCUUAGGGAACCCAGGCCAAGUGUCAGGGAUGAGCUUCCUCUAUGCUCGCAUCAUUCCAGAGUCCCACAGUCACUGACAUCACAUUGGAUUCCUCUUUCCCUCCUUUAAAAUGUUUGUCAAUAGAUGGCUUCUCCUCUGUGAGUCUUCAUGUGGCAGGCCAGGUCUCACUAAUGCAGGCCUCCAUGACAACCGUUUCAGUACUGACUGAGUGGCGAAGUUAAAUAUUAAAAGCUGAUAGAGCCAGUGCCCUAUACAAAUGCUGGAAUGUAACAAAAGCCCACCAAGAGUUCUGCCCUGGCCUUUCCUGGGCCUUGAAGCAUGACAAGAUAAUGAGGAAUUUUCCACAGGACCCGUUUGGGAUUAUACAGGUUUUAUUGGGGGUCUGAAGAAACUCCCCAGGCCUCCACAGGCAAGUUUAUUGGGGUCUGAAGGAACUCCCCAAACCAUGAUUUAGCAGGAAACAAGAUAAGGGUAAUCACCCCAGCACCUGGACCCAUUUAGAUUAAAUAAAUUUACUGAGGCUCCAGGGGAAGGUCUUCAGGACUCAGAUCUUAGUUAGAGAUCAGAAAAAGUCGACCACUUAUGUCUGUAGAUGAAUGCACACUUACACACAGACAUAUAGCUUAGAAGGUAUAUAAGCUCUGGAACACUGUGAUUUUGAGUUGGUCUGGGGAUAAUUUCUAGGCCUUCUCCCUGUAUCCAGUUACAGAAAUAAACUCCCUCCUUUCCCAGUUCAUCUGCGUCUCAUUAUUGGGCUGUGAGAAUAAGCAGCCUGACCCUCGAUUUGGUCCGGGAACAUUCAGAAAAAGCAUUAUGAAAUAUUGUUUGUGUUUUUUCUCUUCCUUUGUUCAACUUUAUAUUAACUAGAUUUGUAGUGCUUUAAAAUAGUGAAAUUUUUAGACAGAUUAGCGUAGGUGCACAAAUCCAAGGAUUCUAUAAAAUGUAAAGUUCACAAAGUAUUUACAUAUGGAAUUUUUGUUUCAUUUUCUUUUAAAUUAUUAUUGUUACUAUUUUUGAGACAGAGUUUCUCUCUUGUCAUCCAUUGCACUCUUGUCAUCAGACCGAGUGCAAUGAUGCGAUCUCAGCUCACUGCAACCUCCAUCUCCUGAGUUCAAGUGAUUCUCCUGCCUCAGCCUCCCAAGUAGCUGGGAUUACAGGCAUGCACCACCACGCCUCACUAACUUUUCUGUGUUUUUAUUAGAGACAGGGUUUCACCAUGUUGGUCAGUCUAGUCUCAAACUCCUGACCACAGGUGAUCCACGUACUUUGGCCUCCCAAAUUGUUGAUAUUACAGGUGUGAGCCCCUGCACCCGGUUAAUUUUUAGUAGAGGUGGGGUUUCAGUAUGUCGCCCAGGUUGGUCUCAAACUUCUGGCCUCAAGCAAUCCUCCUGCCUUGGCAUCCCCCAGCGCUGGUAUCACAGGGGUGAGUCACUGUGUCUGGCCUCAUUUUCUUCUUUAACACCUGCUUCUCUGCUUACCUCUACUUGUCUGUACUUUCUUCAUUUCCAUGGUUACCACCUACACUUUUUUCCAUUUCCAUGGUUAGAAUAACUGUUGUGUAUUUUUGAAUGAGGACACGAAUAGGUAAGGUAUUCAGUUAAAGCAGAUGAUGAUGUUUUAUUGCAUAAGCUUUUGCCACAUGUGCUGAUUCUCUAGAUGUUAGUCCGAGAAUCAGUGUCCUUGGCUGGUCCUUCUGGUUUGUUUCCUUGGACUGCUGUAAUGUCAUUUCCUGCAAAACAGGCAUGUACACAUGUGUCCACAAAUCUCAGCAGCAGAUUUUUCCCACUAAUAGAUGCCAAGGCAUAUUGUCAGGCCUGGGACUUUUUUUUUUUUUUUUUUUUCCCUGUUGUAAGCAGGACUUUCAGCCAGAAAAGGAUGUGUUUCUAACACUCUCGAAUUCAGACAUUUUAUCAUGCCUUAAAUUAUGGCUAAUCUAGUGCAGGGCUGGAUUUUCACUAACACUUAUCAAGUGCUCCCCACAAACCUUCCUGAGUCAACUGGUGGACAGAGAUGAGCUAACCCAAAGGACUCCUUAUGCAUAAAGUCCACAGGUUUGAUUGCAACUGUCCAGGUCCAAAAGCUCUGAGAUGGAAACUAUCCCAACAGCUAGAUGGAGUCUAGCUGUACUGAGUUGAUUUUGUUGUACUUUAGUGAUUCUCCACGUGAUAGAGGUAACAAAUCCAGCCUCCUCUCACAGGUUUCUCAUCACAAUCUCUUGACCCUUUUGGAUGUUCAGUCAAGAUACCAGGAAAUGAGGUUUGAAAUAAAUAGCUUUUCCUGUAACUAUCUUCAUUAAACCAGUUCAUUUAAAUACAAGGGUGAAUUCCCUAUGGCAAUAUGACCCCCCAGUGGGAAAAAACUGGUCCCUGGGGGUUGAAAAAAAUUACUAUUUUUAUGUAUAAAGCAUAGAUGUACAGACUUGGCGCUGUGUCUCAUGCCUGUAAUCCAGCAUUUUGGGAGGCCGAGGUGGGCAGAUCACCUGUGGUCAGGAGUUAGAGACCACCCUGGUCAACAUGGCAAAACCCCGUCUCUACUAAAAAUGCAAAAAUUAUCCAGGUGUGGUGGCACGUGCCUGUAGAUGCAGCUACUCAGGAGGCUGAGGCAAGAGAGUUGCUUAAACCUGGAGGCGGAGGUUGUGGUGAGCCAAUGUCACGCCACUGCACUCCAGCCUGGGUGACAGAGCAAGACUCCGUCCCAAAAUAAAGAAAAAAGGAAAAAGCAUAGAUACACUUACAGUACCUAGAAAGAUAAACAAUACAGUACUUCUGUGUCAUGGGUGGGGAAAUUAAUUGGGAAAAAUGCCUUGAAGGGCUUAGGAGGAUGGUAAUGAAAUAAAGGUGGAAACACCGAUGUAGACUAGGGUUUGGUGGUUGGAUCCUUGCAGAAUCCUGGUGGUUUACUUUUCCCUUUAAUGUAUUUCUCUAUAUGUAAAUGGUGGGGCAGACUGGAAAUAAGAGCUGAGGGUUCAGUACUGACCCAAAAGACAGUGGCUGAAAUGAUGUUUAUUUCUGUCAUGUAAGCAGUCUGGUUCCACAAUGUCAGGGACCCAGGGUCCUUCCAACAAAAAUGUCACAGUUGUUUUUUAAAAAAUUUUUCUUUUGUGGCAAAAAAACAUAAAAUUUACCUUCUUAACCUUUUUUUUUUUUUUUUUUGAGACAAGGUCUUGCUCUGUUGCCCAGGCUGUGAUCUCGGCUCACUGAAGCCUCCAUCUCCUGGGUUCAAGCGAUUCUUGUGCCUCAGCCUCCCAAGUGUCUGAGAUUACAGGCGCCCGCCACCACAUCUGGCUAAUUUUUGUAUUUUUAGUAGUGAUGGGGUUUCACCAUGUUGGCCAGGCUGGUCUCAAACUCCUGACCUCAAGUGAUCUGCCCGCCUUGGCCUCCCAAAGUGAUGGGAUUGCCACUGCGCCUGCCUGAUCUUAACUAUUUAUAAAUGUCCAGUUCAGUGGUAUUACAUUCAUAAUGUUGUGCAACCAUCACCAGCAUAUACCUCCAAAACUCUUCAUCUUCUAAGACUGAAACUCUGUGCCCAUUAGACCACCAUACUGUUUCCACAGUGAUUGUACCAUUUUACAUUCUCACCAAUGGUGCACAAGGGUACCAGUGUCUCCACAUCUUUACCAACACUUUAUUAUUUUCUGCUUUUUUAUGUUUUGAUAGUAGUCACCCUAAUGGGUAUGAGGUGGUAUCUCAUUGCAGUUUUGAUUUCCAUUUCCUUAAUGAUUAGUGAUGUUGAGCAUCUUUCCAUGUACUUGUUGGCCAUCUGUAGAUCUUCUUUAGAGAAAUGUCUAGUCAAGUCCUUUGCCCGUUUUUGAAUUGGGUUUUGUUGUUGAGUUUUAGGAGUUCUGUCCUGUGCUUGUUCUCAUAGUCAGUGAUCAUAACAUUUACAUAACAGGUGGCAGAACAGAGAAAGAAGGGGAGGUGGAACUCCCCUUAAUUUUGAGGGCACACCCAGAAGUUUCUUUCAUUUCUUUUGGGGGUAACUUCAGCUGAUGUAUUCUAUUGUUUUAUAAAACAAAACAAUUUUAUAUUUGCAUUACAAUAUGUUUAGAGAAAAGAUAGCCAUCAAAUACAGUGAAUGUUUCAAGGACAACUGGUAUAUUUUCUCAGCCAACUUUGAACUCUGUGAUCCUAGAUUCAUUUAAUCUCUUUUUUAGAAAAAUAUUUUUUAUUUUUAUUUUUAGAGAUAGUAUCUCACUCUGUUGCCCAGGCUGGAGUGCAGUGGUGCAAUUACAGCUCAUUGUAGCCUUGACCUUCUGGGCUCAAGCAAUCUUCCCACCUCAGCCUCCUGAGUAGUUGGGGGUGUUACCUGGAAGGGCAGAGUCCUCAGCUCUUAGUCUUCCUUGGGAGAAGGAAUUUGGCCACGAGGCAGUUUAGCCAAAAAAGAGAGAAUUGAUUGAAGGAAAAUAGAGAGCAGAGAGUUUAUUUAGAGAGACAGAAUACUCUGAAAGAUGAGGCAGAGCCAGCUGUGGAGACAGAAUGAGCCAGCAGCCACCCCGAGAAUUCUGCGGUGGGUUUUAAUGAUGUCAGAUUUUUUUCUGGAAGUUCCCACCUCUGUCUUAAGUCCCUGCCUUUUUUCUUUGUCUAGUUUCCCUGCUUCUGCCUUAAGUCCCUGCCUUUAUCCCUGCCGCAUUCCCUCCCAGGCUCACGGGACCCUCUCUUACUACUAGUUGGUGGGUAUGUGUGGCCGGUGUUGGGUAUGAACUCUACCAAAUGGCUGCAUUGCUCAUUGCCGCCACCCCAGGAGGUUGUAUAGAGGUCAGAUCUAUAUUUAUUGCACCUGGUAUCUCUUAGGAAUUUCUGCUUUGCCCUCUUUCCCUCCUUAUCAGCACACAGCUAGUGACAUUCUGAGAGGUUAACUGAAGAGUGGGUGAUUACUAGGAGUCUUAAGGGGUGCUCCUUUCUGCAUAGGUAUUUACCCUCCUCCUUGCUCACACUGGACUCAUUGCCCACCCCCUCCACCAUUAGAGAUGUUAAUAAUUAGCAAAUUUUGGGUGGUCCUUGGGCAUGAGGCUUCCCAGACCUUCCUUUUCUCAGGGGCUCCCCCUCCUGCUCAUGUCUAGCUGUUUGCCUACUGUAACAGGACUACAGGCGUGUGUCACCACACCCGGCUAAUGUUUGUAUUUUUCUGUAGAGAUGGGGUUUCACCAUGUUGCCCAGGCUGGUCUUGAACUCCUGGCCUCAAGUGAUUCUCCCUCCUUGGCCUCCCAAAGUACUGCGAUUACAGGCAUGAGACACUGUGCCUGGCGUGAUAUCUUCAGAAGUUUCAUGUAUCACUACUCAUAUCCCAUGAACCAUAACUUGGUCACAUGGCUUCAUGUAGCUACAAGGAAGCCUGGGAAAUACAGCCUACCUGGGCAGCUUUGUGCCCAGCUAAAAAUUCUGUGAUCAUAGAAGAAUGGAUGUUGAGGAACAACUGGCAGUACCUGCCAUUACUCAUGUGAAAAGUACAUUCUUUUGAAGGUUAAGGUUGAUGUGUAUGGCGUCAGGCACACCAUUAGUCCCUCCCUUCCUUCCUUCCUUCCUCCCUCCCUCUCUCCCUCCCCCUUUCCCUUCCUUCCUUUCCUUCCUCCCUCCCCUUCCUCCCCUUCCUCCUUCCUUCCCUUUCUUCCUUUUCUUUCUUCUCACUCUUCUUUUCCUUUCUUCCUCCCUCCCUCCCUUUCCCUCUCUUUUUUCUUUUUCUUUUCUUUCUUCUUUCUUUUUCCUUCUUUCUUUCCCUUCCCCUCCCCUCCCCUGCCCUCCCCUCCCCUCGUCUGCCUGCCUGCCUGCCUUCCUUUCUUCCUUCCUUCCUUCCUCUCCCUCCCCCUUCUUUCCUCCCUGCCUCCCUUCCUCCCUCCUUCCUUUCCUUUUUUUUUUUCUCUUUCUCUUUCUUUUCUUUCAUGUUGCUCUAUCAACCAGGGUGGUGUGUAGUGGUGCAAUCACAGUUCACUACAGGCUCAAACGAUCCUCCCACCUCAGCCUCCCGAGUAACUGGGACUACACCAGGCUAAUUUUUUAAUUUUUAUUUUUGUAGAGAUGGGGUUUCACCAUGUUGCCCAGGCUGGUAUGGAACGCCAGGCCUCAAGCGAUCCUCCUGCCUUUGCCUCCCAAAAUGCUGGGAUUACAGUGAGCCACUGUACUUGGCCUGAUGUCUUCUUGAAUUUCAAAAACUCUUACGAAUCUCACGCACUCUGUUGCCCAGGUUGGAGUGCAGCGGUGCAAUCUCGGCUGACUGCAACCUCUGCCUCCUGAGUUUAAGCAAUUCUCCUGCCUCAGCCUCCCGAGUAGCUGGGAUUACAGGUGCCCACCACCAUGCCUGGCUAAUUUUUGUAUUUUUAGUAGGGAUGGGGUUUCACCAUGUUAGCCAGACUGGUCUGAAACUCCUGACCUAAAAUGAUCCACCCGCCUUGGCCUCCCAAAGUGCUGGGAUUACAGGUGUGAGCCACUGCGCCAUGCCUUGUUCCACUUUAUCUUUCAAGAGUAAGUUUCAUCGUGGAUUAUGGUUAAAGACAAGUGCUGAUUUGGUUUUCCUACCUGAUCACGAGGCCACUCGAUAGAACUAGUAAGCUAUGCCUUGGGCCUGCAGGAUGGCACCUGACUUGAAGAUAGCACCUGACUUGAAGAUGGCACCUGACUAGCAUUUGGACUGGUUUGCAGGCUGAGCACAGGGUUGCUCCAGGUGGGCCCAAAUGCUGAAGAGCCUCAUGUUAGAGUUUUUCACCUCUGCGAUGGAACUGUGGUGGACUCCAGUAUCAUCAUUCCAGGGAGGCAUAGCCGCACCAACUGUGUUCCCAGGUUUCACAUGGAGAAGGGUUUUAGAAAGUGCAGAUAGCCUUGAAACCAUUGGUUUCCUACCACUGUUUAUUUCAGCAUAACUUUUUUUGUGUGGAAUGCUAGCUCUGGAAGAGCAGAAAUAAAUACAGCUUAAGCUUUGAACCAUAUCCUGCUGUACUUUUUCUCAUAAGCUGGAAAUAGAAUUUUCUAACACCGUUUGUGGUUGGAAAUACUGAAUUUAAAUGGGACUGCAGAUAUAAACAAAAAGAACAAGAUGUGGAUUGAUGUGCCUAUUUCAGUAAAACACAGCCACAUUAUUUCUGAAAUAUGGAUACUAAAGAUGACAAGUAGAAAAAAAAUUGGAGAUGUGCACAGUUG